GUGCCCCCUUCAGCAGCACAUAUACUAAAACUGGAACCUUCCAGAGAGGGUUAGCAUGGCUCCUAAGCAAGGAUGACAAACAAAUUGAAGAACUUUUCCAAAUUUAG